rnacentral:rRNA from 1 species
CACUGUCAUCCUACGGGGAGGCAGCAGUGGGGGAAUAUUGCACAAUGGGCGCAAGCCUGAUGCAGCCAUGCCGCGUGUAUGAAGAAAGGCCUUCGGGUUGUAAAGUACUUUCAGCAGUGAGGAAGGUGGGGUAUGUUAAUAGCAUACUCAUUUGACGUUUAGCUGCAGAAGAAAGCACCGGCUAACUCCGUGCCAGCAGCGCGGAAUACGGAGGGUGCGAGCGUUAAUCGGAAUUACUGGGCGUAAAGCGCAUGCAGGUGGUUUGUUAAGUCAGAUGUGAAAGCCGGGCGUCAACCUCGGAAUUGCAUUUGAAACUAGGCAGACUAGAGUACUGUAGAGGGGGGUAGGAAUUUCAGGUGUAGCGGUGAAAUAGCGUAGAGAUCUGAAGGAAUACCGGUGGCGAAGGCGGCCCCCUCGGACAGAUACUGACACUCAGAUGCGAAAGCCGUGGGGAGCAAACAGGAUUAGAUACCCUGGUAG